UUGACCUCAAAUCGGGUGAGACUACCCGCUGAACUUAAGCAUAUCAAUAAGCGGAGGAAAAGAAACUAACAAGGAUUCCCCUAGUAACUGCGAGUGAAGCGGGAAAAGCUCAAAUUUAAAAUCUGGCGGUCUUUGGCUGUCCGAGUUGUAAUUUAGAGAAGCGUCUUCCGCGCCGGACCGUGCACAAGUCUCCUGGAAUGGAGCGUCAUAGAGGGUGAGAAUCCCGUCUUUGGCACGGAUGCCUGGUGCUUUUGUGAUGCGCUCUCAAAGAGUCGAGUUGUUUGGGAAUGCAGCUCAAAAUGGGUGGUGAACUCCAUCUAAAGCU
rnacentral:rRNA from 1 species